rnacentral:lncRNA from 1 species
CCUUGGCUAGAUUAAAAUAAGCUAUUGAACUUAUGGGUUCACCCAACACCAACAGAUCCUUGAAAAUUUGAGACACAAGACCAAUGUCAUUGCCUUCACCAGCUGCUGCCACAAGGAGAUCACAUGCAUUAGCACUAAGGUAGAUGUGUUUAUCGCAUAAGGACUGCAAUAGCCUAGUAGCAACAGAAAGAUUUCUAUAUUUAGACAGAUUUUCAAUGUAAGUAGUACAAAUAUCCUUGGCAGAUAUUGGAUCAUUCUCUAUAGCUAAAAGUAUUUGAUUCAAGAAUUCAUAAGUCAGUUCUGAAAGGAGACGCUUAUGUUGCUACUGACUGAUAAGUGCCAAUGGAAGUGUUCAUUACAGCUAAGAACGGACAGUGCCAGAUGGUUGUAAUAAAUUUCUGUAUUAGUAAUCCAAUCAUUAGUUUCAACCGAAGGGACUAAUCAAACAGUUGACAGGCAUCCAAACAAAUAAAAAAUGCAGUUGAAUGCACUGGUACGUAAAUGGUUAGUGAAUCCACAAACAAAUUAUUGAGAAUCUAAUUGAACACCGAAACAUUAGAAUCUAAAAGGUUCAAGAAUGUAUGUACAUAUGUUAUAGUGGAAGCAAAGCACUAACAAUGAGCUGGUAUAUGUGUCUGAUAUAUGCUUAAAAAUGUAGUCGUUAAUUUUAUUGAAGAAAAUAAUCAAAUAAUUGGUAGGCAUACAAAAGCGAUUUUAAAAGCCAAAGAAAAACGGCAAUUGAAUGCCACAGGAAGUGAAAAUGGAUUUUGAACUCACAUAAGUUAAUUGUUUUGUGAGUCUGAGAUGGUGUUGAACUCUGAAAAAGGUAGUAUCAACCAGGUCCAUAGCAUAUAUGCGUAUUUACAGAUGCUUAUGGGUAGAGAAAGAGAGAAAACAAAGCACUUACAACGUGCAGGUGAUGUCUUCUGGUUCGCAAUGCGUGAGAAGAUGUUACGAGGCAGACAUCAACAAAUUUAUUAACCCACAACGUUCUGUUCCCUUUUUCCGGCUCCCUGAUGAGACGACAAAUCUGGCAAUUCAAACAUGCCUUGCACUGGGUAUUGGAAAUGUAUGAGUCGGGUUUGCGUUGGGAGAGUUGUUUGAACCAAUUAGAAGCAGAGAGCAUUCUAAGGUUCCCCGGAAAGGUAUGAGAUUGUGCUUGCUAGGUUAGUGUUUAUGAAGAGCAGUUGUAAAUCGAUGACCAUCAAAUCCUGACGAAUCAGGGCUGGGGCUGGGAGCUUCUAAACGUAAAUUAAUCAGGUCUCCGGACACCCCUAGAGCCAAAACUCAAGACUUCGUAAUUACCAAUGCAAAGAAU